rnacentral:tRNA from 1 species
AAAGAAAUAAGCUAAGUCUAAGCUAGUAGGUUCAUACCCUAACUAUGGUUCCAACCUUUCUUUA